rnacentral:rRNA from 1 species
UACAAGUUUCCCCGGAGGGAAAGUUGCAAAGCACUUUGAAGAGAGAGUUAAAGAGGACGUGAAACCGGUAGGAUGGAAACGGAUAGAGCUAGCGAAGUCGCUCGUAUUCAGCCGAAGGCCGGUGGUAUCGGUGUGUCGGGUUGCUAAUCAUGCCUGGCGCGCCUUUUGCUGCCGGUUGAGGUGCAUUUGCGGGCGUUUGCGCUGAGACUUGCGGACCAGCUUCUGGACCCGGGCCUAGAGGCCGUCCUAUGGGCGGAACUUGGGCACGGCGACGGUUGUUUGGACUGCUCGUACCACGACUUGGCCUACGGACCGCGGUGCCGUCGUCGCUCUCUUGAGGUGGCAUCGCAUGCGAUGACCCGCUUGGGGGUGGCGGUUGUGCUGUGUGUUCUCGAGUCGGCUCUCGGUGUAAAAGCUGGUCACCUAUCCGACCCGUCUUGAAACACGGACCAAGGAGUUUAGCGUAUACGCGAGCCAUUGGGUGUUUAAACUCACAGGCACAAUGAAAGUGAAGGCCCAGCCGCUGGGCUGACAUGCGAGUUGGUGGGCUUCGGCCUGCCGAUGCAGCAUGGUCCCGUUUCGGUCGCUUGCGACGGAGCGGAGACAGAGCGUAUGCGCUGAGACCCGAAAGAUGGUGAACUAUUCCUGAGCAGGACGAAGCCAGAGGAAACUCUGGUGGAAGUCCGAAGCGAUUCUGACGUGCAAAUCGAUCGUCUGACUUGGGUAUAGGGGCGAAAGACUAAUCGAACCAUCUAGUAGCUGUUUUCCUUCCGAAA